UACGUAGGGUCCGAGCGUUGUCCGGAAUUACUGGGCGUAAAGAGCUCGUAGGUGGUUUGUCGCGUUGUUCGUGAAAACUCACAGCUCAACUGUGGGCGUGCGGGCGAUACGGGCAGACUAGAGUACUGCAGGGGAGACUGGAAUUCCGGGUGUAGUGGUGGAAUGCGUAGAGAUCCGGAGGAACACCAGCGGCGAAGGCGGCAUCCUGGACUGGUCCUGACACUCAUGAGCGAAAGCGUGGGGAGCGAUCCGG
rnacentral:rRNA from 1 species